UUUACAAUGGAGAGUUUGAUCCUGGCUCAGGAUGAACGCUAGCGGCAGGCCUAAUACAUGCAAG
rnacentral:rRNA from 1 species